UGGGGAAUAUUGGGCAAUGGACGCAAGUCUGACCCAGCAACGCCGCGUGAAGGAAGAAGGCUUUCGGGUUGUAAACUUCUUUUAAGGGGGAAGAGCAGAAGACGGUACCCCUUGAAUAAGCCACGGCUAACUACGUGCC
rnacentral:rRNA from 1 species